rnacentral:lncRNA from 1 species
AUGUGUUUUUAUAUUUAUAGAAUCAUGAAUGUCAGGACGUCCCGCCUCAUCUUCCUGCUGCUGGCAGCACUGACCUCAGCAACUCCACCAGGGAACAGCACUGGACAACGGUUUGUGGUGGUUUUCCCUGAAAACAUCGCCUAUUAUUAUCCCACCAGUUCUCAAAACAAGGUUUGGGUUACAGCGUUACAUAAUGCUACACAGGUCACAGUUGCCAGCCAGACCCAAACGCUGAACUCAGGACAGACAUCCAGCUUUAACACCGAUGUGGAGCUGAAGAAGUUGGAUGUCCCUGGGAGUCAGAUGAACCCACCAUAUGAAGCCUUCAGCGUCUCCAACGACACCGUCCAAGUCACCAGCAACAAAAACAUCAUCGUCCAGGCUUUCAGCAUGAGAAAACUCAGCAUUCAGACCGCUCUGGUCAUCCCUACGGAUAAACUUGGCACGAAAUAUUUCAUCCCACCUGUUCCCCAAAUUCUGGGAACCACCGAUGGACCUGUGACUCCUAACGUGACGGAGAGAGGUCCGUUCAGGGUCAUCAUCGUUAAUUCUCAACAACAAAACACAGUCACAUUUAAAGGUCAAGGUGAGACCAGCGUGACCCUACAGAGUAACCAGGUGGCUCAGAUCUGGGUUCCUAAUGACACGACGAAGCAAGUCGUUGUGUCCCAGUUUCCCGUGGCCGUCCUCUUCAGUCAUCCCUGUGCCAUGAAGUACGGGUGCACCUGUGGGCUGCUGACCGCCGCGUUGCCUCCAGCCAGAGACAGGUCUGUGAAGUUCCCAGUUCCUAUGCUUCUGGCUCAGAACGCAUCUGUACUUCAGUCUGAUAAUAGAUCCAGUUCAGUGGUUCCCUUGAAUCUAAAUUCUACAUUGGUUGAGUCGUCUGGUACGGUGGUCCUGUACCGACCCGGAUUACUCCUCACACUGAUCCCAGAGACCGAGUUUGCUUCCUGCUUUUUGGUCCCCUCGAUGCAGUCCAACAAUGGCUUCAUCAUCAUUGUGGUAAACAAAAACUCCACAUCCGGGAUUCACAUUGGGACAAGCCAACUCCAGAAUCCCAUGUGGCAGGAGCUGGAUGGAACCGAUUACAUCUCCACCAACCUGAGUGUGACUUCAGACACCACCGUCGUCUGGCACGAGUCCUCCACAAUGGCCGUCUACUUUGUGGCAAAUCAGAGUAAUCUCUGGUUUGGAAACCCGGCAGCAGUCAUCAGCUCCACUCCAGGUAGAGGGCAUACCUGUUUCUAUAUUACAUCUGAGACAGAAAUACCCAGGAGAGGUCAGAGGUCAUGGUAG